GAGGGCCAAAGUGUGUAAUUAAAUAAAUAAAGGGGGCUAUGUAUCCAUCAUCCAAUACACUAGAAGUUUCAAGAAAUCAAAGAGAGAAAGAGAGAGCAAGAGGGGACGGCUAGAGCAAGAGAGAAAAAGAAAAAAAAAAUCUUGGAGCCUUAAUCUUUGGUUUAAAAUUUUCUUUCAUCUUGAAUUCUUGCUAAGUGCAAGACUCUCUACAACUUGGUAUAAUUAUUUUGGCAAGAAAGACACUUUGGUGGCAAGUGAAGAAUUUGAAGAAAAGAUUUUGUGGAGCCAAGAGCUUGAUUUCGGAUUUGCGUAGAGAGCGGGCAAGGUACAGACACAGGUGAUCCACCACUGUAGGCUCCACUUCCUGCUAUUUUCGGAGUACUUCCUUUUGAUCCGGAG